rnacentral:lncRNA from 1 species
CUUAUGCAAUGGUGUGUGUGGGUCUAUGCUUCUCUUCCACCAGGCGGGGUGGUAGUAUCCUCUGUAAGCCCAGGGAGAACGUUUCUCAUACACCUCGCCCUCCCCCAGGAGACGACUCUUCUCUGCCAGGUACCUGUCACACAAACACCAGCACAACCUAUACUCAGUGCCGGUUUCCCGGACACAGAUUAAGCCUAGUCCUUGGUCUCAAAAGCAUGUGUCUAAAAUGUCCUUUGGUAAAAAUUGUUAUGGUUGAAGAUUUAUAGCCUGGAAAAAAGAUGAAUAUAUAGAUACACACCUCAGAGCCUCCUGCCUAUCCCUCUGUCUCUCAGCCUCCUCGGCGUCGCCAUCCAUCUUCUCCUCCUCAUGUUCGUCCGAAUCGCUCCUUCGUUCCUCGUCUUCCUCCUCUGAGGAAUCCCCAUUUCGUUUGUGAUGCUUCUUGUGGUGGUACCUGUGAGUUGGUUUCCAAAUCCUCUUCUCUCUCUCAUCCUCAUCCUCCUCUCUCUUCUCCUUUCCAUCACCCAGACUCCAGGACUCUUGGCUGCGUUCUUCAUCUGGCUCCUCUCUCCCUUCUUCUGAAAGCUCCUCAUCACGUUUGUGGUGUUUUUUGUGGUGGUAUCUGUGUGUGGGCUUCCAGAUUCUCUUCUCUCUAUCCUCUUCCUCCUCUUCCUCUGACUCAACUGAUCUCUUUUCCUCUGAUUCCUCGUCCGAUGAGUCAGCACCUCGUUUGUGGUGUUUCUUGUGGUGAUAUCUGUGUGUGGGUUUCCAAAUUCUCUUCUCUUUCUCCUCCUCCUCCUCUUCCUCUGAAGGAUCUUCACUGCGUUUGUGGUGCUUCUUGUGGUGGUACCGAUGGGUGGGUUUCCAAAUCCUCUUCUUUCUUUCCUCAUCAUCCUCCUCUCUCUUUUCUUUCUCAUCGCCCAGACUCCAGGACUCUUGGCUGCGCUCUUCGUCUUCUUCAUCUCGUUUGUGGUGUUUCUUUGGGGUGUACCGAUAGGUAGGCCUAUAUCUCUUCUCCUUCUCCUCGCCCAGGCUCCAGGAUUCCUGACUACGUUCCUCUUCUGGCUCUUCUCUCUCUUCCUCUAAACCCUCUUCAUCUCGUUUGUGGUGUUUCUUUGGGGUGUACCGAUAGGUAGGCCUAUAUCUCUUCUCCUUCUCAUCGCCCAGGCUCCAGGAUUCCUGACUACGUUCCUCUUCUGGCUCUUCUCUCUCUUCCUCUAAACCCUCUUCGUCUCGUUUGUGGUGUUUCUUUGGGGUGUACCGAUAGGUAGGCCUAUACCUCUUCUCCUUCUCAUCGCCCAGGCUCCAGGAUUCCUGACUACGUUCCUCUUCUGGCUCUUCUCUCUCUUCCUCUAAACUCUCUUCGUCUCGUUUGUGGUGUUUCUUUGGGGUGUACCGAUAGGUAGGCCUAUACCUCUUCUCCUUCUCAUCGCCCAGGCUCCAGGAUUCCUGACUACGUUCCUCUUCUGGCUCUUCUCUCUCUUCUUCUAAACCCUCUUCAUCUCGUUUGGGGUGUUUUUUGGGGGUGUACCGAUAGGUAGGCCUAUAUCUCUUCUCCUUCUCAUCGCCCAGGCUCCAGGAUUCCUGACUAUGUUCUUCGUCUGGCUCUUCUCUCACUUCUUCAGAAACCUCCUCAUCACGUUUGUGAUUGGGUUUCUCAUGAUGAUACCUAUGCGUUGGUUUCCAAAUCCUUUUCUCUUUCUCGUAGUUGAGGUCCCAUGACUCCUGGCUGCGAUCUUCGUCCUCCGGUGUCUCUCUCUUCUCCUCCACAGACUUCAGGAGGGCCUCGAUGUCUUUCACGUCGGCGCCUGGUGCCUCAGGCUUAGGUUCAUGUUCUUUGCCCUCCUCUUCAUGGGUCAGCACCUCAUCACUUUUCUUCUCCACAGGAGCAGCAUGUUGGGCACCUGUAGAGGGGGUGGAAGAAGAGACUCUCAAAGGGCAUUCAAUAGUGUGUUGAC